rnacentral:tRNA from 1 species
GGCCUUAUAGUCAAAAUAAUGAUUUUAAAUUGCAAAUUUAAAGGUAACGUUAGUUUAAGGCUU